rnacentral:rRNA from 1 species
GGCCGKUAAAACGAUUGAGGUGCUAASWGUAGRGKGUCUACCGUCCUUUAAGUGCUGCAGCUAACGCCAUUAUGCACUCCGCCUGGGGAGUACGGUCGCAAGACUGAAACUUCAAARGGAAUUGACGSGGSCCCCGCACAAGYGGUGGAGCAUGUGGUUUAAUUMGAAGCAACGMGAAGAACMUUACCAGGUCUUGACAUCCUCUGACAAUCCUAGAGAUAGGACGUCCCCUUCGGGGGCAGAGUGACAGGUGGUGCAUGGUUGUCGUCAGCUCGUGUCGUGAGAUGUUGGGUUAAGUCCCGCAACGAGCGCAACCCUUGAUCUUAGUUGCCAGCAUUCAGUUGGGCACUCUAAGGUGACUGCCGGUGACAAACCGGAGGAAGGUGGGGAUGACGUCAAAUCAUCAUGCCCCUUAUGACCUGGGCUACACACGUGCUACAAUGGACAGAACAAAGGGCAGCGAAACCGCGAGGUUAAGCCAAUCCCACAAAUCUGUUCUCAGUUCGGAUCGCAGUCUGCAACUCGACYGCGUGAAGCGGAAUCGCUAGUAAUCGCGGAUCAGCAUGCCGCGGUGAAUACGUUCCCGGGCCUUGUACACACCGCCCGUCACACCACGAGAGUUUGUAACACCCGAAGUCGGUGAGGUAACCUUUAUGGAGCCAGCCGCCGAAUGGUGGACAGAUGAUUGG